rnacentral:rRNA from 1 species
UACCAGCACCCCGAGUGGUCGGGACGAUUAUUGGGCCUAAAGCAUCCGUAGCCGGCCUUACAAGUCCCCCGUUAAAUCCAACUGCUUAACAGAUGGGCUGCGGAGGAUACUAUAAGACUAGGAGGCAGGAGAGGCAAGCGGUACUCAGUGGGUAGGGGUAAAAUCCGUUGAUCCAUUGAAGACCACCAGUGGCGAAGGCGAAUCCCUGGAAAAUACCUGACACUGAGGCACGAAAGCUAGGGGAGCAAACAGG